rnacentral:rRNA from 1 species
CACGUAGGGCGCAAGCGUUGUCCGGAGUUACUGGGCGUAAAGGGCGUGCAGGCGGUCGACUAAGUCUGGCGGGAAAGCUCUCGGCUAAACCGGGAGAGGUCGUUGGAUACUGGUUGACUAGAGGACGGUAGAGGCGUGUGGAAUUCCGGGUGUAGUGGUGAAAUGCGUAGAGAUCCGGAGGAACACCAGUGGCGAAGGCGACACGCUGGGCCGUACCUGACGCUGAUACGCGACAGCAUGGGGAGCGAACGGG